GUAUUACUGAAGAGUCCCAAACUAGGAUGAAACAGCUGUCUAGUAC
rnacentral:hammerhead_ribozyme from 1 species